UGAUGCAGGAAGUGCACCGCACGACGAUAAUGUAGUUGACGGAGACUUUAAAGAGGUAUAAUAUAAUAGGCAGCCAUUUUUCAAAGAAAAAUGAGCGGAUUACGAAUGUUUUUGAGGAUUGCGGGAGCACGCAGUGCGGAGCAAUCCGGGACAUCG
rnacentral:sRNA from 1 species